ACGGAGGGUGCAAGCGUUAUCCGGAUUUAUUGGGUUUAAAGGGUCCGUAGGCGGAUUAAUCAGUCAGUGGUGAAAUCUCAUAGCUUAACUAUGAAACUGCCAUUGAUACUGUUAGUCUUGAGUGAUGUUGAAGUUGCUGGAAUGUGUAGUGUAGCGGUGAAAUGCUUAGAUAUUACGCAGAACACCAAUUGCGAAGGCAGGUGACUAAACAUCAACUGACGCUGAUGGACGAAAGCGUGGGGAGCGAACAGGAUUAGAUACCCUGGUAGUCCACGCCGUAAACGAUGGAUACUUGCUGUUGGGUUUUCGGACUCAGUGGCUAAGCGAAAGUUAUAAGUAUCCCACCUGGGGAGUACGUUCGCAAGAAUG
rnacentral:rRNA from 1 species